AACGAACGCUGGCGGCAGGCCUAAAACAUGCAAGUCGAACGAACCGCAAGGUUAGUGGCGCACGGGUGAGUAACACGUGGGAAUGUGCCUCUGGGUACGGAACAACGUCGGGAAACUGACGCUAAUACCGUAUAAUGUCUACGGACCAAAGAUUUAUCGCCCAGAGAUCAGCCCGCGUCUGAUUAGCUAGUUGGUGAGGUAACGGCUCACCAAGGCGACGAUCAGUAGCUGGUUCGAGAGGAUGAUCAGCCACACUGGAACUGAGACACGGUCCAGACUCCUACGGGAGGCAACAGUUAGGAAUAUUGGACAAUGGGGGAAACCCUGAUCCAGCCAUGCCGCGUGUGUGAAGAAGGCCUUAGGGUUGUAAAGCACUUUCGGCUGUGAAGAUAAUGACAGUAGCAGAAGAAGAAGCUCCGGCUAAAUUCGUGCCAGCAGCCGCCGUAA
rnacentral:rRNA from 1 species